rnacentral:rRNA from 1 species
GGUUAAGUGACUAAGCGUACACGGUGGAUGCCUAGGCAGUCAGAGGCGAUGAAGGGCGUGCUAAUCUGCGAAAAGCGUCGGUAAGGUGAUAUGAACCGUUAUAACCGGCGAUACCCGAAUGGGGAAACCCAGUGUGUUUCGACACACUAUCAUGUCAUGAAUACAUAGUGGCAUGAGGCGAACCGGGGGAACUGAAACAUCUAAGUACCCCGAGGAAAAGAAAUCAACCGAGAUUCCCCCAGUAGCGGCGAGCGAACGGGGAGGAGCCCAGAACCUGAAUCGGCUUGUGUGUUAGUGGAAGCGUCUGGAAAGUCGCGCAGCAAAGGGUGAUAGCCCCGUACACUAAAAUGCACAGGUCGUGAGUUCGAUGAGUAGGGCGGGACACGUGACAUCCUGUCUGAAUAUGGGGGGACCAUCCUCCAAGGCUAAAUACUCCUGACUGACCGAUAGUGAACCAGUACCGUGAGGGAAAGGCGAAAAGAACCCCGGCGAGGGGAGUGAAAUAGAACCUGAAACCGUGUACGUACAAGCAGUGGGAGCACCUUCGUGGUGUGACUGCGUACCUUUUGUAUAAUGGGUCAGCGACUUAUAUUUUGUAGCAAGGUUAACCGUAUAGGGGAGCCGUAGGGAAACCGAGUCUUAACUGGGCGAAUAGUUGCAAGGUAUAGACCCGAAACCCGGUGAUCUAGCCAUGGGCAGGUUGAAGGUUGGGUAACACUAACUGGAGGACCGAACCGACUAAUGUUGAAAAAUUAGCGGAUGACUUGUGGCUGGGGGUGAAAGGCCAAUCAAACCGGGAGAUAGCUGGUUCUCCCCGAAAGCUAUUUAGGUAGCGCCUCGUGAACUCAUCUUCGGGGGUAGAGCACUGUUUCGGCUAGGGGGCCAUCCCGGCUUACCAAACCGAUGCAAACUCCGAAUACCGAAGAAUGUUAUCACGGGAGACACACGGCGGGUGCUAACGUCCGUCGUGAAGAGGGAAACAACCCAGACCGCCAGCUAAGGUCCCAAAGUCAUGGUUAAGUGGGAAACGAUGUGGGAAGGCAUAGACAGCCAGGAUGUUGGCUUAGAAGCAGCCAUCAUUUAAAGAAAGCGUAAUAGCUCACUGGUCGAGUCGGCCUGCGCGGAAGAUGUAACGGGGCUAAACCAUGCACCGAAGCUGCGGCAGCGACGCUUAGGCGUUGUUGGGUAGGGGAGCGUUCUGUAAGCCGUUGAAGGUGGCCUGUGAGGGUUGCUGGAGGUAUCAGAAGUGCGAAUGCUGACAUAAGUAACGAUAAAGCGGGUGAAAAGCCCGCUCGCCGGAAGACCAAGGGUUCCUGUCCAACGUUAAUCGGGGCAGGGUGAGUCGACCCCUAAGGCGAGGCUGAAAAGCGUAGUCGAUGGGAAACAGGUUAAUAUUCCUGUACUUGGUGUUAUUGCGAAGGGGGGACGGAGAAGGCUAGGCUAGCCGGGCGACGGUUGUCCCGGUUUAAGCGUGUAGGGGGUGUGACCUGGUAAAUCCGGUUGCAUGCUAACCCUGAGGCGUGAUGACGAUGCACUACGGUGCAGAAGUAGUUGAUGCCCUGCUUCCAGGAAAAUCCUCUAAGCAUCAGGUAACAUUAAAUCGUACCCCAAACCGACACAGGUGGUCAGGUAGAGAAUACCAAGGCGCUUGAGAGAACUCGGGUGAAGGAACUAGGCAAAAUGGUGCCGUAACUUCGGGAGAAGGCACGCUGGCAUGUAGGUGAAGUCCCUCGCGGAUGGAGCUGAAGCCAGUCGAAGAUACCAGCUGGCUGCAACUGUUUAAUAAAAACACAGCACUGUGCAAACACGAAAGUGGACGUAUACGGUGUGACGCCUGCCCGGUGCUGGAAGGUUAAUUGAUGGGGUCAGCCGCAAGGCGAAGCUCUUGAUCGAAGCCCCAGUAAACGGCGGCCGUAACUAUAACGGUCCUAAGGUAGCGAAAUUCCUUGUCGGGUAAGUUCCGACCUGCACGAAUGGCGUAAUGAUGGCCAGGCUGUCUCCACCCGAGACUCAGUGAAAUUGAACUCGCUGUGAAGAUGCAGUGUACCCGCGGCAAGACGGAAAGACCCCGUGAACCUUUACUAUAGCUUGACACUGAACAUUGAGCCUUGAUGUGUAGGAUAGGUGGGAGGCUUUGAAGCGUGGACGCCAGUCUGCGUGGAGCCAUCCUUGAAAUACCACCCUUUAAUGUUUGAUGUUCUAACUCGGCCCCAUAAUCUGGGGUGAGGACAGUGUCUGGUGGGUAGUUUGACUGGGGCGGUCUCCUCCCAAAGAGUAACGGAGGAGCACGAAGGUUAGCUAAUCACGGUCGGACAUCGUGAGGUUAGUGCAAAGGCAUAAGCUAGCUUGACUGCGAGAGUGACGGCUCGAGCAGGUACGAAAGUAGGUCUUAGUGAUCCGGUGGUUCUGAAUGGAAGGGCCAUCGCUCAACGGAUAAAAGGUACUCCGGGGAUAACAGGCUGAUACCGCCCAAGAGUUCAUAUCGACGGCGGUGUUUGGCACCUCGAUGUCGGCUCAUCACAUCCUGGGGCUGAAGUAGGUCCCAAGGGUAUGGCUGUUCGCCAUUUAAAGUGGUACGCGAGCUGGGUUUAGAACGUCGUGAGACAGUUCGGUCCCUAUCUGCCGUGGGCGUUGGAAGAUUGAGAGGGGUUGCUCCUAGUACGAGAGGACCGGAGUGAACGCACCACUGGUGUUCGGGUUGUCAUGCCAAUGGCAUUGCCCGGUAGCUAAGUGCGGAAAAGAUAAGCGCUGAAAGCAUCUAAGCGCGAAACUUGCCUCAAGAUGAGUCUUCCCUGGGCCUUCAAGGCCCCUGAAGGAACGUUUAAGACUAAGACGUUGAUAGGCUGGGUGUGUAAGUGCAGCGAUACAUUGAGCUAACCAGUACUAAUGAUCCGUGAGGCUUAACCUU